rnacentral:rRNA from 1 species
AUGUUGCCAGCCAUGGAGGAGCCCCCUAUUGGGGGCAACAGCAGCACUGAGGAGACAGGAGGGCCAAAAGAGAGCUUGGUGGUGAUUGAGGUUAAGAAGCAGCUGUACCUUGCCGGGCCUCUCAUCGCUGGAUGCCUGCUGCAGCAUGUCGUGCAGAUGAUAUCGGUCAUGUUUGUCGGCCAUCUCGGUGAGCUCUCUCUCUCGAGUGCCUCCAUCGCCACCUCCUUUGCCAGUGUCACCGGCUUCAGCUUGUUGUCUGGCAUGGCGAGCAGCUUGGACACAUUGUGUGGGCAAGCCUUCGGGGCAAGACAGUACCAUCUGCUCGGCAUCUACAAGCAGAGGGCAAUCCUCGUGCUCACUCUGGUGAGCGUUGUGGUUGCGGUGCUCUGGGCGUACACGGGACAGAUCCUCCUGCUCUUCGGCCAGGACCCAGAGAUUGCCAUGGGGGCAGGGAGCUACAUCCGGUGGAUGAUUCCAUCACUAUUCGCUUACGGAUUGCUGCAGUGCUACGUCCGGUUCCUCCAGACGCAGAACAUCGUCCUCCCGGUGAUGGUGAGCGCAGGCGUCACGGCGCUGAGCCACGUGCUUGUGUGCUGGUUGCUGGUGUACAGGCUUGGGCUGGGCAACAAGGGCGCUGCCCUGGCCAAUGGCAUCUCGUACCUGGCCAAUGUGUCAAUCUUGGCUAUCUACAUCAGGGUCUCUCCAUCCUGCAGGAGCACCUGGACAGGCCUCUCAAAGGAGGCGUUUCACGGCAUCCUUAGCUUCGUGAAGCUUGCUUUGCCAUCUGCGCUGAUGAUUUGGUGA